GCCGGGCGCGGUGGCGCGCGCCUGUAGUCCCAGCUACUCGGGAGGCUGAGGCUGGAGGAUCGCUUGAGCCCAGGAGUUCUGGGCUGUAGUGCGCUAUGCCGAUCGGGUGUCCGCACUAAGUUCGGCAUCAAUAUGGUGACCUCCCGGGAGCGGGGGGCCACCAGGUUGCCUAAGGAGGGGUGAACCGGCCCAGGUCGGAGACGGAGCAGGUCAAAGCUCCCGUGCUGAUCAGUAGUGGGAUCGCGCCUGUGAAUAGCCACUGCACUCCAGCCUGGGCAACAUAGCGAGACCCCGUCU
ensembl:misc_RNA Metazoa_SRP Metazoan signal recognition particle RNA